rnacentral:rRNA from 1 species
AGUGAACGCUGGCGGUAGGCCUAACACAUGCAAGUCGAACGGCAGCACAGUAAGAGCUUGCUCUUACGGGUGGCGAGUGGCGGACGGGUGAGGAAUACAUCGGAAUCUACUUUUUCGUGGGGGAUAACGUAGGGAAACUUACGCUAAUACCGCAUACGACCUACGGGUGAAAGCAGGGGAUCUUCGGACCUUGCGCGAUUGAAUGAGCCGAUGUCGGAUUAGCUAGUUGGCGGGGUAAAGGCCCACCAAGGCGACGAUCCGUAGCUGGUUUGAGAGGAUGAUCAGCCACACUGGAACUGAGACACGGUCCAGACUCCUACGGGAGGCAGCAGUGGGGAAUAUUGGACAAUGGGCGCAAGCCUGAUCCAGCCAUACCGCGUGGGUGAAGAAGGCCUUCGGGUUGUAAAGCCCUUUUGUUGGGAAAGAAAAGCAGCAGGUUAAUACCCCGCUGUUCUGACGGUACCCAAAGAAUAAGCACCGGCUAACUUCGCG